UCAAAAUAGAUUAUUUAACUCAUGAACAUCAGCUGAUAAUAGAGGGGGAGAUGAAUGCCAAGCUCGCUGGAGUAAUUUAUUUACUUUUUCAUUCAUUGAUCAGUUAGGCCUACUGACUAAAUUACCGACCAACUUGUCUGGAAUAUAUAAAUAGCUGGACAUGGAAACAAGGCAUCAGCCAGACAUACACGGCCGACGGACUGGGGGUGUAAGGUGGACAGGCAAAUUACCUUUUUAAUUGUAUUAAUGUUAUUUUUUAAAUACAAGCAAAUAUUUUAAAAGAUAUGAUAGACAGAUCUGAUUCGUGGAAACAUGCUGCAGUUAGCGCCUAAAGAAAAGAAAGGAAGCUGGUGCAAAAUAACCAUUUCAAAGUUUGUGAAAUGACUGCUUGGUCUUACAUGUAUUUGGUUGGAGGUGGGUAUAAAGUUGAUUUAUUAUAGCAAACCCUACCUUCAUCCAUGUACCCCAGCAGUGGCAUAAACCUUGCUACAGAGUAAAAUACAUUCUCUGCUGUUUUGUGAAAAAUGUGAAAAAUAUAAAACCAGAAUAUCUUGGUCGAAAACAUUACAUUAUAAACAGUAAUUGCAUAGUAUUAGAUUUAAAGAAUGCAUGUAGACCAAAGAAAAAUAACAAAAUAAGAACUAUUUUGUUCAUAGCAGCGUUAUGGCACAAUCAAUCUUAGGGUUAAUAUAUUUACAUAUUCCUACGAAUGCCCCGCCUGACUUGUAACUGAAUAUACAAAUUGAGUCUCCUCCCAUUUGACUCUAACAUAUAUUUCCGAAAAAACAAACUGUUGGCAUCAGUCCUUCACUGCCACUGCCCUGGGUCUGCAACACUCCCACCAUGAAAGUCUCAGAUAGUUUGUUCCUCAUGGCCCUUCUUUCAGCGGUUCGUGGCCAGCAACUCACCUCCUCAGAAUCGGUGGU